rnacentral:rRNA from 1 species
GACGAACCGUGCGAACGUUAUUCGGAAUCACUGGGCUUAAAGCGCGUGUAGGCGGAUGGGAACGUCGGUAGUUGAAAGCCCCCGGCUCAACCGGGGAAGUGGUGCCGAAACGACCCGUCUGGAGGGACGUAGGGGGACCUGGAACUUCCGGUGGAGCGGUGAAAUGCGUUGAGAUCGGAAGGAACGCCCGUGGCGAAAGCGGCCACCUGGGCCUAACCUGACGCUGAGGCGCGAAGGCUAGGGGAGCGAACAGG